rnacentral:rRNA from 1 species
AUGUUGAUGCAAGACUACAUCGCAGAGAAUCCAACAUAUACACCGCACCUCUUCCGAAGAAGGCACCGAAUGCGCCGAUCUCUAUUUGUGAAUAUUGUUCAAGCUUGCGAGGAAAAUUGUAGGUAUUUUACUCAAAGAAGAAAUGCCGCAGGCUUGAAGUGAUUUAGUGCAUAUCAAAAAAUCUCAGCAGCUAUGGGGUUAUUGCAUAUGGCGUUUCGACUGAGUAUGUCGAUGAGUACCUUCGCAUUGGUGAUGAUACCACAAUUGAGUCAGUGCAUAGGUUUGCCAAAGUGA